rnacentral:rRNA from 1 species
GACGAACGCUGGCGGCGUGCUUAACACAUGCAAGUCGAACGGAAAGGCCCUGCUUUUUUGCGGUGCUCGAGUGGCGAACGGGUGAGUAACACGUGAGUAACCUGCCCUUGACUUUGGGAUAACUUCAGGAAACUGGGGCUAAUACCGGAUAGGAGCUCCUGCUGCUUGGUGGGGGUUGGAAAGUUUCGGCGGUUGGGGAUGGACGCGCGGCUUAUCAGCUUGUUGGUGGGGUAGUGGCUUACCAAGGCUUGGACGGUUAGCCGGCCUGGGAGGGAGACAGGGCACAGAGUCAUAGAGGUAGGGGCCGGGCUGAUUCGUGAGGGAGGGGUGAGGGACAUUGCCAGCAAGGCGGAAGCCUGAUGGAGGAACGUCGGGUGGGGGAGGACUGUUGUCCGGAUGUAAAUAGCUCUCGUUUGUGCCGGAGGGUGAGUACAGGACCGGGAGAAUGAGACACGGCCAACUUCGUG